rnacentral:tRNA from 1 species
UCCGAUAUGGUGUAGUGGCUAACAUUAUCGCCUCUCAUAAAGUAUGUUUCGCGAUAGCCCGGGGUUCGAUUCCCCGUGUCGGAA